rnacentral:rRNA from 1 species
AACGAACGCUGGCGGCAGGCUUAACACAUGCAAGUCGAACGAUCCCUUCGGGGAUAGUGGCAGACGGGUGAGUAACGCGUGGGAACCUACCUUUAGGUACGGAACAACAGUUGGAACGACUGCUAAUACCGUAUGUGCCCUAUUGGGGAAAGAUUUAUCGCCUAAGGAUGGGCCCGCGUUGGAUUAGCUAGUUGGUGGGGUAAUGGCCUACCAAGGCGACGAUCCAUAGCUGGUCUGAGAGGAUGAUCAGCCACACUGGGACUGAGACACGGCCCAGGACUCCUACGGGAGGCAGCAGUGGGGAAUAGUUGGACAAGUCGGGGCAACCCUGAUCCAGCCAUGCCGCGUGAGUG